GCGGGUGUAGUUUAGUGGUAAAACUACAGCCUUCCAAGCUGUUGUCGCGAGUUCGAUUCUCGUCACCCGCUUUG
rnacentral:tRNA from 11 species